UAAUAGUCUCUGUUUUAUAUUCUUUUGAUAUACGUUCUUCUACAACUCAAGCCUUGUCUCUGAUCUCUUUUGAUAUACAUACGUCUUCUACAACUCAAGCCUUGUCUCUGAUCUUCUCAUUCCCUGAGCAUAGAGACUUAAAGACUCAUCACCCCUACAAGAUGAACACAUAUUCAAAAAGAGUGAGUUAACAAGUGCAUGUCCUUUUGAGAGAAACUACAGACGGAAAAAAAAAAGAUCGGAUGUGAAGGAACAGAGAAUCUUGGGAAUGUGCCUUACUUUGUAGGAUGAAUGAUAAAUGCUUGCUUGUAAGCUAUAUAUGUGAUGGUAAAAUGUAUGUGUAGUUAUGACGGCUGGUAAAAGCUGUAUGUGUAGUGAAUGUUUAGGGUGUGGAUGAUUAGAUUAGAUGAAUGUUUAGGAUGUGAU